rnacentral:ncRNA from 1 species
UGCGCAGCGCAUGGCGCAGCACGAUCUGCGAAAAGGCCACGCCUUUCAGGCGGGCGGUACGGAUAUAUUGCGCGGUCAUCACCUCGGUCAUGCUGGCGCGUGUCAUUCGCGCAAUGUACCCCAUGCCGUAAAGCGCGAUGGUCAGGACCGGCAGAAAGAAAUUCUCGAAAUUGGCAUCA